rnacentral:rRNA from 1 species
UACGUAGGGGGCAAGCGUUAUCCGGAUUUACUGGGUGUAAAGGGAGCGUAGACGGUAAGGCAAGUCAGAUGUGGAAGCCCCAGGCUUAGCUUGGGGAGAGCAUUUGAAACUGUCUGACUAGAGUGCUGGAGGGGUGGGCGGAAUUCCCGGUGUAGCGGUGAAAUGCGUAGAUAUCGGGAAGAACACCGGCGGCGAAGGCGGCCCACUGGACAGCAACUGACGUUGAGGCUCGAGAGCGUGGGGAG